UGGGGAAUAUUGCGCAAUGGGCGAAAGCCUGACGCAGCCAUGCCGCGUGUGUGAUGAAGGCUUUCGGGUCGUAAAGCACUGUUAGGAGGGAAGAAGCUCUGACGGUACCUCCCUAGAAAGCACCGGCUAACUCCGUGCCAGCAGCCGCGGUAAUACGGAGGGUGCAAGCGUUGCUCGGAAUCACUGGGCGUAAAGCGUACGCAGGCGGAUUGUUAAGUCGGGUGUGAAAGCCCAGGGCUCAACCCUGGAACUGCGCCCGAUACUGGCAGUCUUGAGUACGGGAGAGGGAAGCGGAAUUCUGGGUGUAGAGGUGAAAUUCGUAGAUAUCCAGAGGAACACCAGUGGCGAAAGCGGCUUCCUGGCCCGAUACUGACGCUCAGGUACGAAAGCGUGGGGAGCAAACAGGAUUAGAUACCCCCGUAGUCC
rnacentral:rRNA from 1 species